GAUGAACGCUGGCGGCGUGCCUAAUACAUGCAAGUCGAGCGAACAGACGAGGAGCUUGCUCCUCUGACGUUAGCGGCGGACGGGUGAGUAACACGUGGAUAACCUACCUAUAAGACUGGGAUAACUUCGGGAAACCGGAGCUAAUACCGGAUAAUAUAUUGAACCGCAUGGUUCAAUAGUGAAAGACGGUUUUGCUGUCACUUAUAGAUGGAUCCGCGCCGCAUUAGCUAGUUGGUAAGGUAACGGCUUACCAAGGCAACGAUGCGUAGCCGACCUGAGAGGGUGAUCGGCCACACGGGAACUGAGACACGGACCAGACUCCUACGGGAGGCAGCAGUAGGGAAUAUUCCGCAAUGGGCGAAAGCCUGACGGAGCAACGCCGCGUGAGUGAUGAAGGUCUUCGGAUCGUAAAACUCUGUUAUUAGGGAAGAACAAAUGUGUAAGUAACUAUGCACGUCUUGACGGUACCUAAUCAGAAAGCCACGGCUAACUACGUG
rnacentral:rRNA from 1 species